rnacentral:tRNA from 1 species
GGCGAGGUAGCUCAGUUGGUUAGAGCGCAGGAUUCAUAAUCCUGUUGUCGGCAGUUCAAGUCUGCCUCUCGUCA